GACGAACGCUGGCGGCGUGCUUAACACAUGCAAGUCGAACGGAAAGGCCCUGCUUUUGUGGGGUGCUCGAGUGGCGAACGGGUGAGUAACACGUGAGUAACCUGCCCUUGACUUUGGGAUAACUUCAGGAAACUGGGGCUAAUACCGGAUAGGAGCUCCUGCUGCAUGGUGGGGGUUGGAAAGUUUCGGCGGUUGGGGAUGGACUCGCGGCUUAUCAGCUUGUUGGUGGGGUAGUGGCUUACCAAGGCUUUGACGGGUAGCCGGCAUGAGAGGGUGAACGGCCACAUGGGGACUGAGAUACGGCCCAGACUCCUACGGGAGGCAGCAGUGGGGAAUAUUGCACAAUGGGCGGAAGCCUGAUGCAGCAACGCCGCGUGCGGGAUGAAGGCCUUCGGGUUGUAAACCGCUUUCGCCUGUGACGAAGCGUGAGUGACGGUAAUGGGUAAAGAAGCACCGGCUAACUACGUG
rnacentral:rRNA from 1 species